rnacentral:rRNA from 1 species
AAAUCAAGCGCGAAAAGGGCGUUUGGUGGAUGCCUUGGCAGUAAGAGGCGAUGAAGGACGUGAUACUCUGCGAUAAGUCCUGGGGAGCUGAGAAUGAGCUUUGAUCCAGGAAUUUCCGAAUGGGGCAACCCACCUGAUUGUUUGUUGUUACUGCCUUCGGGCAGCUAACAGCGGGCAAAACCAGGUAUUUGUAGGCUGAAUACAUAGGCUUACAAAAGCAAACCCGGGGAACUGAAACAUCUAAGUACCCGGAGGAAAGGAAAUCAACAGAUACUCCCCUAGUAGCGGCGAGCGAACGGGGACCAGCCGAGCCAUGCGAGUGACAAGAAUAUCCUGGAAAGGAUAGCCAGAGUGGGUGACAGCCCCGUAUUGGAAGCUCAAUUGGACGUAUUAAGUAGGGCGGGACACGUGAAAUCCUGUCUGAACAUCGGAGGACCACCUUCGAAGGCUAAGUACUCCUUACUGACCGAUAGCGAACCAGUACCGUGAGGGAAAGGUGAAAAGCACCCCGACGAGGGGAGUGAAACAGUACCUGAAACCGAACGCCUACAAGCAGUUGGAGGGUCCAUGAGGCCUGACAGCGUACCUUUUGUAUAAUGGGUCAUCGACUUGGUCUCACAAGCAAGCUUAAGCCGUUAGGUGUAGGCGCAGCGAAAGCGAGUCUGAAUAGGGCGAAUGAGUUUGUGGGAUCAGACCCGAAACCGAGUGAUCUAGGCAUGUCCAGGAUGAAGGUUGGGUAACACCAACUGGAGGUCCGAACCCACACCUGUUGAAAAAGGUCGGGAUGAGGUGUGCCUAGGGGUGAAAGGCCAAUCAAACUCGGAGAUAGCUGGUUCUCUGCGAAAUCUAUUUAGGUAGAGCGUCGUCCGAAUACCCUCGGGGGUAGAGCACUGGAUGGGUAAUGGGGCCUUACCGGCUUACUGAUCCUAACCAAACUCCGAAUACCGAGGAGUACUAGACGGCAGACACACAUCGGGUGCUAACGUCCGGUGUGAAGAGGGAAACAACCCUGACCUACGACUAAGGCCCCUAAUUCAUGGCUAAGUGGGAAAGCAGGUGGGACGGCCAAAACAACCAGGAGGUUGGCUUAGAAGCAGCCAUCCUUUAAAGAUAGCGUAACAGCUCACUGGUCUAAACAAGCUGUCCUGCGGCGAAGAUGUAACGGGGCUCAAGCCAUGAGCCGAAGUCUAGGGUGUAUAGCAAUAUACGCGGUAGCAGAGCGUAGUGUGACAUAGUACCUGACGAUAUCAGCGCCUUUCGAGGUGUUGCGAUCGUUAUGGUGCUUUCUGUGAAGCCCCCCUGUGAGGGAUGGGGUGGAGAGAUCACUAGUGAGAAUGAUGACAUGAGUAGCGACAAAGGGGGUGAGAGACCCCCUCGCCGAAAGUCCAAGGGUUCCUGCUUAAAGCUAAUCUGAGCAGGGUGAGCCGACCCCUAAGGCGAGGCCGAAAGGCGUAGUCGAUGGGAACCAGGUUAAUAUUCCUGGGCCGUGAGGUGGUGACGGAUCGCAGAUGUAGUUUGCCCUUAUCGGAUUGGGUGGGCUGCUGAGCGGUUCCUGGAAAUAGCCCCUCUAUAAGAUCGUACCCUAAACCGACACAGGUGGACUGGUAGAGAAUACCAAGGCGCUUGAGAGAACCACAUUUAAGGAACUCGGCAAAAUACCUCCGUAAGUUCGCGAGAAGGAGGCCCGGUUCGGACGCAAGUCUGGGCUGGGGGCACAAACCAGGGGGUGGCGACUGUUUACUAAAAACACAGGGCUCUGCGAAGUCGUAAGACGACGUAUAGGGUCUGACGCCUGCCCGGUGCCUGAAGGUUAAAAGGAGGAGUGCAAGCUCCGAAUUGAAGCCCAGGUAAACGGCGGCCGUAACUAUAACGGUCCUAAGGUAGCGAAAUUCCUUGUCGGGUAAGUUCCGACCUGCACGAAUGGCGUAACGACUUCCCCGCUGUCUCAAAUGUGGACUCAGCGAAAUUGAAUUGCCUGUCAAGAUGCAGGCUACCCGCGGUUAGACGGAAAGACCCCAUGCACCUUUACUAUAGCUUCACACUGGCAUCAGGUACGGCAUGUGCAGGAUAGGUGGUAGACUUUGAAGCGGGGACGCCAGUCCUCGUGGAGUCACCCUUGAGAUACCACCCUUGCUCUGCUUGAUGUCUAACCGCGGUCCGUUAUCCGGAUCCGGGACCCUGUGUGGUGGGUAGUUUGACUGGGGCGGUCGCCUCCCAAAGUGUAACGGAGGCGCGCGAAGGUUGGCUCAGAGCGGUCGGAAAUCGCUCGUUGAGUGCAAUGGCAGAAGCCAGCCUGACUGCAAGACUGACACGUCGAGCAGAGUCGAAAGACGGCCAUAGUGAUCCGGUGGUCCCGCGUGGAAGGGCCAUCGCUCAACGGAUAAAAGGUACGCUGGGGAUAACAGGCUGAUGGUGCCCAAGAGUCCAUAUCGACGGCACCGUUUGGCACCUCGAUGUCGGCUCAUCUCAUCCUGGGGCUGGAGCAGGUCCCAAGGGUACGGCUGUUCGCCGUUUAAAGAGGUACGUGAGCUGGGUUUAGAACGUCGUGAGACAGUUCGGUCCCUAUCUUCCGUGGGUGUAGGAUACUUGAGAGGAGUUGCCCCUAGUACGAGAGGACCGGGGUGAACGAUCCACUGGUGGACCUGUUGUCGUGCCAACGGCAGUGCAGGGUAGCUAUGAUCGGACAGGAUAACCGCUGAAGGCAUCUAAGCGGGAAGCCCCCCUCAAAACAAGGUAUCCCUGAGGACCGAGGUAGACCACCUCGUCGAUAGGCCGGAGAUGUAAGUGCAGCAAUGCAUUCAGUUGACCGGUACUAAUGGUCCGAUAGGCUUGAUUUG